rnacentral:rRNA from 1 species
UUCCGGUUGAUCCUGCCGGAGGCCACUGCUAUUGGGGUCCGCCUAAGCCAUGCGAGUCGACCGGGCUUUCCUCCUUCGGGAGGAGGCACAGGGCGGACGGCUCAGUAACACGUGGGUAAUCUACCCUCGGGUCGGGCAUAACCCCGGGAAACUGGGGCUAAUACCCGAUAGGUGGAGAGGUCUGGAAGGAUCCUCCGCCGAAAGCUCCGGCGCCCGAGGAUGAGCCUGCGACCGAUUAGGUAGUUGGCGGUGUAACGGACCACCAAGCCUGUGAUCGGUACGGGCAGUGGGAGCUGUAGCCCGGAGAUGGGGGCUGAGACACGGCCCCAGGCCCUACGGGGCGCAGCAGGCGCGAAAACUCCGCAAUGCUCGCAGGAGCGACGGGGGGACCCCAAGUGCCCCUGCACUGCAGGUGCUUUUGCGGAGUGUAAACAGCUCCGCGAAUAAGGGCUGGGCAAGACCGGUGCCAGCCGCCGCGGUAACACCGGCAGCCCGAGUGGUGGCCACUUUUAUUGGGCCUAAAGCGUCCGUAGCCGGUCUGGUAAGUCCCUGUGUAAAUCCUCAGGCUCAACCUGAGGAAGUGCGGGGAUACUGCCAGACUUGGGGCCGGGAGACGCGGAGGGUACUCCAGGGGUAGCGGUGAAAUGCUGU